UGUCUGUCUAUCUGUCUAUCUUUUUUCUCCAGGUUUCCUGAUGAACAGCAAUGGAAGUGAGGUGAAACAGCGAGGAGGAAGAGAGUGUGAAUAAAAGUUUAGCUUGCAGAGCAGACUCUUUCUUCUAUCAUGGGCCGGGCAGCUGUCGGAGCCAUCCAGAGGCAUCACUCACCACUGAUGAACACAUCAGUCCAGUCCAAGCACUCUCCCAGAAGCUCCUCACGCUAUCAUGAAGAAGAGGGAGCUCACAGCAUUGAUCCAGACACACCCGGCUCCUCGCCAUCCAUCAUAAGACCAACACUCCCCUCACGCUGCUCAAGGUCCACGUGUCCUCCUUUCCGCUUUUAGCCGCUCAGGACUAUCAGCUAGAUGCUUGAUGGAUUCCCAGGGAGGCCCUGCUUGGAAUGUUUUCCUCAGAAACCUUAAUUUCUUUGUGACUGAUGAAGGAAAGACAUGAACAUCUUGAAUGACAUGGUGCUGAGUAAAUUAUCAGGAACUUUUUAUCCUGGAAGUGAACUAAUCCUUUAAGCAACAAGUUAUGCCAUCAACACACCCCAAGGUUGGUUUUCUGAACCAAAUCAACUAAUUAAUUAAAAAUAUUUGACUCACAAUACCACUUAAUCUCCGUCGGAUCAGACCUCAUUAGAAGGUACAUGAUGCCCUGGUGAAUAUCAGAAAGAUUACAUCACUCUUUUUGUGACUCCCUCAAUCCUUUAGUUCUGCUAACUUCUGCUUCAUUCUCUCAGAUGGUCUGGUCAUGUUGAAGUGAAAGGUUUUUCCGCUUUCAUGUUUUUACCCUUUAAAUAAUGAAGGGUCAUUUUAAGCAUGGCUCUACACUUAAUCUUCACUCAUUUUGUUUUAACAGUCAAAGCCCAGUCCUGCAAUUAGACUGAAUGUCACCAGACUCUGCGCGUUCAUGCCUCACUCUCUCUCUCAAUACCCUCCACACACCCUCACAGUCCCUCCACUUUUAGCGGGAGCAUGCAUCCUCUGUCCAAAUGGACCUCACACAGGCCUUUACUCUGCACUUGUUUUUCUGCAAGCUGUCAGCUCUGGUGUGCCAGCUCCACAUCUAUACUCACCUAAUUUAUGAAGGUCUGUGCGCUUGUUCUGCUGCACUACAGAUUAACCAGCCAGAAUUAUUUUCACCGCAGCCAUUGCGACUCAUAGAGCAUCUCAGUCUAGUAUUGCAUUACUCUGUACUGCCCCAGAGGGCAUGGGGGGGUACGGGCAUCCAUGGUAUUUAGAGCACAAUAUGGACUUAAGCCAAAAAUCAGUGCUGUAUUUGGGGCUGUCCUGAAGAGCUUGCAAUAAACGCAUCCAUUCGUGUUGAGUUUCAGGUGAUUAUGUGUAUAGAUAAUGAUAAGCAUGGGUUCAUUUUUUUUUUUUUCAGUUAUGAGUAUCUAAUUUCUGUUCAGGGAUUUUCUUCUCUCUAAUAAUGCUGUGUGUUCAAUUUGCACCAUUGAGAAGGACUACUACUUUUUUUUUUUAAUAAUGCAGCUAAUUUACAUGAUGACAGGACAUUUGGUGCCUGUGCUUUGCUUGCCAAAAUAUGAAUUCACCUUUGUUGGGCAGCAAUCCAAGCUUCUGUUGAUAAUAAUAGAUAGAGGGUCUGGUUAGAGUGAUUCAUGCUCAUGCAUGCAUCUUUCCACACAUUAUGAAAUUGUAUGUUGCUGAUCUUGUGAAUGGAUCUAUUUAUUUUUUGCAAGACUGACCCAUUGAAUAUAUUUGGUCUUGAGGC